UCCAAAUGUUUCACAGUGAGGACAUUGUUUUCCAGAUAGAAGGCAGUCCCAACAAGGGUUGGCUUGAUACUCCUUCCUCUUGACACUUUUCUCCCUUUCACCCUCCAUUCGUACCUGUUGUUGGUGACAGCUGUUGGUGACAGCUGACCUCCAGUUAGAACACUCGAGGGUGAGGGCUUCCCAGUUCUCGGUGUCUAGUGUCUAGAAUAGAUCAAGAGAAAUAAUGUUAUCAUUCUAUUCUGCUUUGGUCAGACCUCACCUAGAAUAUCAUAUCCAGUUCUGGGCACUACAAUUCAGGAAGGAUAUUCAUGAGUUGGAAUGUGUACAUAGAAGGCCAAAAUGAUCAACAGUUUGGAAACCAAGCUAUUGUAGUAGAGCCUGUAAGUAACGUUACAAACAGUCGUAUGGGUUACUCAGGAGCAGGAAUCUGAUGAUGAGCAGCAGAGAAAGAGGAUUCUGGACAUACUUACAGCACCUACAGAUGAGGAGUCAUUAGAAGGAUUCUCUGGGGAUGAUAAUGUUGCAGACAGUAGUAUGGGUGCCAGAAGGGGGAAACGGGUUACUCGGGAGCAGGAAUCUGAUGAUGAGCAGCAUUGAAAGAGGAUUCGGGACAUACUUACAGCACCUGCAGAUGAGGAGUCAUUUGAAGGAAUCUCUGGGAACGAUGGGUCAAUGAGUGAAGGAGCAGAAGGAGACACCAUGGAUUGGACUAAGAUAAGAGAAGUGCAAACUAUUUGUCUGUGUACCAAAGCUCAGCACCAGAAUUUAAUGAUGAUGGCUCUUACUGUCCACCACCAAUUGCAUGGUUGUGUGAAACCAGGGAAAUACGUACUCUGCCUUCAAAUUCACAUUUUCAGUUGACAAGCUGAGAACUAGCAGCUUUCGAAAAAACCGAAUUCUAAUUAUUGACUCCCUGCACAAUAGGUUUCAUUCCCACAAGAGAAACCUGAAGCUUUCCUGCAACUGAGCAUCGGUGUGGUAUUUGGAUCUGAUAAAACUUCAGGAAGCAUAUAAGAGGAUGGGGACGAGGCUUUUGGAUGCUGAAAUCUCAUUAUAUACAAUGGUGGACUCAAAUGUAUCCCUUUUGAAUACUUUCAAGCUCUGAAUGGCUGAAUUUGUGAAUGCAGAAUUUAUGAAUACGGAGAUCUGACUGUACUCCUAACAGGAGAAAUAAUGCUAUAAACCAACAUCUACCAGUUUACUUAAGUGUCUUGAAGUGGAAAAUAUACAUUUCUCAGAAGGCUCGUUGAAUUGUCUUUUGUAUGGUGAUGUGACACAAUACAACCCAGCACACAUUGCUGAACUUGUGGUGCAUAUCAGUUUAGUUUUCCAGACAGAGUCACACAAAAAAUUAACAAUAAUAAUAAUCGCAUUUCGUCCUUUUAAAAAACUCUUGUCCUAUAAUGAGGAUCUGUUGCUGCCAUUCAUCAGUGCAAGACAUGCUAAACCCGAUGGAAUAAUCAGUCUCAAGUGUUUAUCAGAAAUAAUAAUGUUAUUAUUUUCUGUGCAUGCAUCCUGAAGUUACAAAGCCUCAGAUGGGAUUAAUAGAAAUUUUAAUUAAGAUAUGGAAAUAAGCUUCUUUCCCUUCACAUGUACAAAAAAAGCUGCAAGUUAACAGCAUGAGC
ensembl:lncRNA